UACUCGGAUUCCCAUCAGCCAGGCUCCCCUCGCCCUGUAGCUUGGCUCCAUCUUGAUACCUUCAUAGCAUUUUAGACAAAAUGGGCGUGUUUAACUUGUCGCCUCAUGUCUGAUAUAAAUUAUUCACUGGAGCUUUGCACAGAUUUGUGAGAUAACCCGCCUGGACUCAGAGAAACUUCACAGUCUGUGUGGGAAUCUGACAAAGACAUCGAAGGCCGUUUUUCCAGCAGUUGUCCAAGGCAAAAGAGAAAAAAUGCCUUCACUCCAAAGCUCAGCCUCAUUUUAUACCUUAAACAUCCCUCACUCUCUGUCAUAACAUAGAAAUUAGCUAUAGAUGUUUGCCACUUGGGUGUGUUUGGGUGUUGUGCUAUUUUUCUCAGAACUAUAGGUCAAGGAACAAAGCCCUGUUUUUGUUUGAAUUUUUUUUUCCUUUGAAAUGAAGCCAUUGGUCUUCCAUACCUGACAAGAUGAAUUAAAUGUGGAGAAAAGAUCACAGAAUUUAAUCAGCACAGUCAUUCAGUGUAUUUGGUCGGGAACAAUCACUCAGAGAAGCAUAUGGACAACUAGAGAUGAUGCCAGGAAGCACAAGUAAAGGAACAAGAGAAGUGAAACAGGGAAAAGAGGAAAGCCACACAAUGGAAGUCAAUGUCAAGGAGCAGAUCAUCACAGGAAGCAAGUGUGGCUCAGUCUUCCUGGAAUCCUCUGAGUAAUCAAGUAGAACAUGCUUCAGAAUAGUCCCAGUUGGGUGUUUAUUCAUCAACCCACAUCCUUUCUUAAUUGAAGAUUACCCUUGAUUGCAGAGAUAAACAAGAGAACUCUCGCAAUUGAAGCAAACAGACCUCAGUGUGAAAGCAACCGGCUUUAAUAGGAACUCUCAGUUGUAGCUGCAGAUAAACUCAAAGGUGGGCCAGAGUGAUAUGUAACAUGGCAUUCAACAGCAACUGCUUUACUUUCUUUGAAAAAAAAAAAAAA